AGCCCCGUCGUCUAGUGGUCAGCAAUCCGCUUUUUAGAAAACAGCGUUUUUGCCCAUAGCAGGAUAACAGGCUCUGAACCUGUGGACAGCGGUUCGAAUCCGCUCGGGGCUA
rnacentral:tRNA from 1 species